GUUAAUAAUUCAGUUACGUAGCCAUGUCAUGAGCUAAGAUAAUAUAGGAGAGAGAAACGCACACAGCAGUCACACAUCUCUCUCUCAUCAACAACGACAUGCAAGGAUAUAGCCCUUUACUUUAGCCGUCAAAACCGCCCGUCCUUUUUGGUGCCCGUCGCUUUCUUGCGGCGUUUAUUCUGUAUAGCUAUAGGUCACACAGGGUAAACGCCGUCUAUUUCACUCUCCACGGAUCACUCGUGCAGCAAUGGAACAGUAGUUUUGAAGAUUUUUUUUUUCUGGCACCAAUCACUUUCUUAAAGGAAAUCAAGAAACCUAGAUUUUGACUGCCGGCUCUCAUCAGUUGUUUUUAAUACUAUUUUUUCUCUUGGCUUGCGAAACUUGUUUUCGUGUGUAGUGUUUGGAGGCAGACUUGAAAAUUGACUCUAGGGUAACAUAUGUAUUUUUUUACAGCACGGGAACAUAAAGUUUUCUACACAGAAAAAUGGAUAGAAAUAAUAUCUUAAGCAUAGAUGCUUCUUCGAGGAAUCGAUAUCUUAAUCAAAAUCACCUUGAAAAGGAUGUUUCUGGCCGGCUAGCUAGUAUCUAAACCGCAAAAGUUGAUGGAGAAACAUGGAGAGGCUAGUAGCUAGUAAAGUUACUGUGCCAGAUGGGUCAUGUGUGUCGUCUGCAUGCAGCAGCAAGCUUGCAAAUGAAGCCUAGCCUUUGUUCGGUGACCACGCACGUCACUUUAAUUAGCUCGCUAGUUGCCUCUCCUAACCAUCUUUCCGAAACGAUCAGUCACGAAAGGUUAGCUCAGACGACUAGUCUCCGUCUUUCACUCUUUCUAUCUUUCUUUCUCUCAGCGUCAUGCAAAUUAAUAACUUUAGUUUAAUUAGCUACCUCGCCCAUGCGUGCAUGAUCGAGUGCAAAAGCUUUUUUGUGCCGGCCGCUGUUGUCGCAAGUCCUCCUACCAAACUACUCCAAUUCCUCACGAGAGCUCGCCGAUGAUUCGACGAGAAUUCGGUGCAACCACUCUGCGCAGCGCAAUCAACCUGCAGACCAAACCCUUCGCUCGCCGCCAUCCUUUUCAUUCCGUUGCGUCGUACCACUCCACCGGCGGCGGUUCGCCGGCCGUCGUCGUCGCGUCACUUGACGCUUUGUCAACGGCCGGCGACGCAUGAUGCCGCACCGGCCGGCCGGCCGGCUACUCAUGUGUACGGCGUCAGCUGCUCCAUUCUUCAAGCUUGUUGAUUAGCUAGCUAGCGGCUGGUGGUGCAGGAUGAUCGAUCGAGUUUAAUGCUGUUGGUCUGAUUUGGCUAUCCCAUAACCAACUCAAUUGGGGAUUAGACUUAAAAUGGAUUAAUAAUCAUUCAUGAAUAGGGUUAGCUAGUUCUGGCGACCAGGUGCAAAUCAUAAGGUUGCAGUUGCAGCUGAGUGGUCUUGGUCUAGUCAGGAUUGCAUUGUCAGCUGCAGUGCUACACCACAUCAAUCUUUUCUCGCGAAAGAGGCAGGAGCUAGCUCUAGCUCUACCAAAUCACUGAAAGGGAAUUAAUAUAUAUGUAUGUAGGUAUGUGUACAUAUAUACACACAUAGGUGUCAUGGCGGUUAGAUAGAUAAGCUGAAAAUAUGUGAAGAGGCAGGUAAUUAGCUUGUGGCGCACGUAUGUGUGUGUGUGUGUGUGUAUGUGUGAGAGAGAGAGCUAGCUAGGCCGCCUGCGCUAGCUAACGGCUUUGGCGAUCCACAUCGAUCAUACGUGGACUAUCCAACGGUCGUGGUGCGGACGUUGGACCAAGAGCUUUAUCCUCACAUCCGGCCGCCUCUGGCCCUCUCUCCCUCUCCCUCUGUCUCUCCCUCUCUCUCUCUAGCAUGUGGUCCUCUCUCUCUCUCUACCUCCCUCUCUCCCGCUUGAGCAUAUUCCUAGUCCAUUUCCUAAGUUGACUAGCGGUUGCGUACUUGCACGCCUGUUAAAUAUCUGUUACCGAUUUCAAAAGGAUAAAAAUAUAGAGUAGCUUUACCUGCUUCCCAGCAGAUUUUCAGCAAAGUUAUCUGCCAAAGUUUAAGGUAGAACUAGCAACUAGGAUGCGAACCAGGGAAGAAAUAAAGGGGGUUAGUGGCUAACUCAAAAGUUCCACUCGACAGGUCAAAGUUUUAUCCCGUUGUUUAAGCCACUUAAUUCCUCUUAUUAGUUAAUUACUCUGUUGCACGCAGCGACAACCCGGUCAAGCUGCUGCCCAAAAUAUUCCUCGGCGCCAUUGUCUGUGCGUGCACCUGACACCAACUGAGACUACUCGCUGUAAAAAAGAAAAGGUUUCACGUAACAUCAGCAAUGAGUCCUCCAGAUAGAGAGAGCAGGAAGCAAUCCGUGAGCGUCCAUGCAUACAUACAAAUUUUCAGUUAAAUGUCGCUUUCUGGGUAUAGAAAACUCAGUGGAUUUCCAACGUCAGGUCAAAAGGCUGCAGAUGUGUUUCUACAAGAAUCGCGUCCUGCCGCCGACCUUGUUGUUUUAUGUGCACACACUGACCUUUUGUUCCUUUUGAUUUCUUGGUAUUUCAUAAUAAAUUAAUCUAGUAGUAAAAAUUUGUUACCCGGGACGGUAAAUAAUUAACAAAUAAAUUUACUUUGCUUAUUAAUUAAUUUAAGUGUGGUAAGUAGUACUGUACAUGAUAAUUAACUAACGGGGGUGAAAAAUACGUACUUGCAGGUGCUGAGGCCAUCGGCGUGUGCUACGGCAUGAGCGCCAACAACCUGCCGCCGGCGAGCACGGUGAUCGACAUGUACAAGGCGAACGGCAUCUCGGCGAUGCGUCUGUACGCCCCCGACCAGGGCGCACUCCAGGCCGUGGGCGGCACGGGCAUCAGCGUGACCGUCGGCGCCCCCAACGACGUGCUCUCCAACAUCGCCGCCAGCCCCGCCGCCGCCGCGUCCUGGGUCCGCAACAACAUCCAGGCGUACCCGUCCGUGUCCUUCCGCUACAUCUGCGUCGGCAACGAGGUCGCCGGCGGCGCGGCUCAGAACCUGGCGCCGGCGAUGGAGAACGUCCACGCCGCGCUGGCCGCUGCCGGGCUCGGCCACAUCAAGGUGACGACGUCGGUGUCGCAGGCCAUCCUGGGCGUGUACAGCCCGCCCUCCGCCGCCGAGUUCACCGGCGAGGCCAAGGGGUACAUGGGCCCCGUGCUGUCGUUCCUGGCCCGGACCGGGUCGCCGCUGAUGGCCAACAUCUACCCGUACCUUGCGUGGGCCUACAACCCGAGCGCCAUGGACAUGAGCUACGCGCUCUUCACCUCCAAGGGCACGGUGGUGCAGGACGGCGCCUACGGGUACCAGAACCUGUUCGACACGACGGUGGACGCCUUCUACUUCGCCAUGGGCCGGCACGGCGGCUCCGGCGUGCCGCUGGUGGUGUCGGAGAGCGGGUGGCCGUCCGGCGGCGGUGAGCAGGCGAACGCGGCCAACGCCAGGAUCUACAACCAGUAUCUGAUCAACCACGUCGGGCGCGGCACGCCGAGGCACCCCGGCGGCAUCGAGACCUACCUCUUCUCCAUGUUCAACGAGAACCAGAAGGACAGCGGCGUGGAGCAGAACUGGGGACUCUUCUACCCCAACAUGCAGCACGUCUACCCCAUCAGCUUCUGAUCACCGGAGCUCUCGUCUAUGAUUAAGUACGUAUACGGGGUACGUAUAAGUGUACGUACAUGUAGAUUAUGUAUUGUACUGGGGGCUUGCUUUGCGACCGCUGGGAGUGCCAAAUGGUGCUCCCAGAUGCGUACGCCGUGAGUGAGUAUGUCGGUCUAUGUAUUCGUCGAAGGGAGAUGUACGUACCGUAGAUAAAUACGGUGCAUCGUCGAUUGAUCUCCCUUCCUAGCUAGUACGUAUAUAGAGAGGUUGGUGAUGGAUAAGAUACACAGGUGUACGUACGCAGCACGUGCCUAGGAGGUACAACAGUGUACGUACACCAGCUGUAACACAUGUACAUUACACACCGUAUAUAUAUAUAGGUAAAUUAAAUAUACGGUUUGAGAUAUCCUUCCCCCUGUUCCACUAUUAGUAAUACUAUUACUGAACGUUGCAUGUGCAUGGCUCGGACUCGGGUAAAUUAAUGAUGCGGUCCACCCGCCGACGUGGAGCCAUCCGCGGCCAGACGAGUGGCACCGAUCGUGCGUUUUGGCCCCUGUGUAUCGAUGUGAUCCGGUCACCGCCGUGCGCCGCGCGAAAGCGGCCGGAGGGGACGGCGACGCGCGCCGGAAAGCGCCGCGCUCUGUUGGAGGAAGCAGCCGGUCCAUCCGUGCGGCGAUAGGGCUCCCCUCCACGCCGUGCUCGAUCCGCGUCAUCCAUCCGUUUUGUGGAUAUGUAUAUCUCAAGCAGCCUGGCUCAUCUCCUGCGGCACCAAAACCUUAUUGCCCGAUAUGUGCCUAAAAUCUUGCUAUCAUUCAAGGACCGUAAAAAUGUUAAAAAUAAAAAUUAAAUCUCUACGGACUCAUCACACUUCAUAUAAUCGCCUUGAAAAAUAGAUCGUUGACGGAAUUAAUAAAAUUAUCCACUAUAUGUAGAUCAUAUGAGACCCCACUUGCACCGCUCGCAUACGAUUCUUGUGGUCAUCUCUCGAUCAUGUGGACAAUGCAAGUUGGAACUAGUAUAUAUGCGCUAAUACAGAAACCACACCGGUUCUUAAAUCUUAAUCCAUUUCAUCGAGUCGAGAAAGUUCGUCCGGGGGCUACCAAGUACCAAAUGAUCUUGACAGGAUGCGUUUUAAAUGGUUCCUACCGGAGCCGGUAGUGCACUACUUGCUAUAGCCGCCUCUGAUGUUCCAGGCUCACCUAAACACCACUCAAAGGCGCUGCCGCAAUGCUGACCGAAACGGACGCCGCGCCACACGCUAGCUACUGCCGAGGAUCGAACGAACGAACGAACGAGUUGUUAUUGGUGCUCGUUUGCCUGCAGCAGCAGCAGCAGCAGCUACCUGAUCGAACCUGAAAGUACUCUGUUGUGUUCUUGACUUUGGAAGAGGAACGAAGCUUGAGGCUCACACUAGCUACUUUCUUCUCUGCGGUUAUGGAAAUCGACAGGCUAAUGGCCACUGAUGGUCUAUCAAUCACUGGCUGUGAUAAAGCUCUAGGUUAGGUUUUUUUUUGCGGUUUUGCAUGCGCUUUCUCCUGUGCAUCAUUGCGGUCUCAACGGCUGUGAAAGGGACGAAUGGACGCCGGGUUGGUGAGUUCGUUCGGUGUGGUGUUUGAGACCGAUAUAUGAACGGUUACUUCAUUUCAGUGGUUGUUUUUGGGUCGAAAUCAACUCCAAAGUUGAAACUUGAGUAGAUCUGUUAUUCACCUUGUACCAUGCAUAUGCUUUAUGUUUAGGUUGAGGGUGAUGUCAAUUACUGGUUCUGUCUGCCAGCGUCCUUUGUCAUCUUAAUACAUGCUAGCUGCAUUUAUGUAGCAUGCAUGUACUAGUCAAGAACUUCGGCCGGAGCGUACACGCAUGCGACAUAUCAAAUUAAUUAAGAAGGGUGAUAUAUCUUCGAUAUCUCAAAAUUUAGAUGAACACCCAAAGAUUAUGGGUACCAUAUAUGCAUUUCCAAUAAUAAAUCCAUUUCCUUCCUUCAACCUCUGAGCGUGAACAUAAACCGUACCCACAGUCGUCGUGCUGUUGUGCAGUCUUGAACACACCAUCAGGCUUUUUCAGGUGGCGCAAUGCCAGUAAAACUUUAUACAUGGAUACAUUUCAUUGGCGCGAUUCAUAUGUUUUUCUCCCUUCGAAAACAACAAGUGCGAACUCAGAGUCAGAGAAGCGACACAAUGUCACAAUUUGGACACCGAGCCAUGUUGGGGCUGGGGCAACACCAAAGGCUCUCGGGAUCUUAAUACGUAUGAAUCUUACGAUUCCUGUACCUAAAUCACAUGUGAAGUCGGAACAUGCCUACCUAAAUCCACAAGCAUGUACAAAUUCAUUUAGGCCGGCCAAAAACAGCUCAUGACUCAGCCAUGACAAAUCUUACAAAUAUGUCUGCUCUAAUUCUAUUUAUUUCUUGACAAACUAGUAGCGGACUGAUUUGUCAUCAUGGCGUAUAAUGCUGCAUUGGAUUAGGGUAUAUGCAUCACUGCCUACUCAGCCAGUCUUUUAUUUCCUUCUAAAUUAGAUAGAGCUCCGUACCUACUCGAUCAGUUGAGCUACCAAAUCUCUCCAGUUUGACGAUCGAUGUAGCUGUUGCAUAUACAUGUCAUGUUUCGUGGAGAUAAGAUACAUGGAGAUACUUUUUGGGGUGGGGGUGGGGGUGGGGGGGGGGGCAUUAUUGGGCGCUCGUUCGCCGCUCAGCGCUUGCGACGAACAAUCGUCGCGGGUAGGCACACGGCUGGGGAAAGCACUUUCAGUACCGGUUCCUAAUAUCCUUUUAUUACCGGUUGUGCAACAGACAUUGCUACUUUGGUACUAAAGGGGGGCCUUUAGUACCGGGUCAAAUAACCGGAACUAAAGUGUAUUAAAAAAUAAAAAAAAAUCCGCACCUGCCGCCGUGGGGUGAGCUCCAUCCCACCGGCCACGCCCGGUCGCCCCGCCGCCGCACCUGAGAUAGCGGGUCGGCGUCGGGCCUCCCGCUGCCGCCCUUGCCCCGUCGCCACCCUUAGGCCCCACGCCCUCGCCCGCCGCUUGGCCCCUCGCCGGAGACGCGCCCCGCCGGGCGCUUGGCCCCUUGCUGGCGGUCGAACCGAGUGAGAGGAACGGAGGGAGAGGGGGAGAGGGACGCAACUGGAUCCCGGCCGCGCUCGCCGUCGACGCCGCCUGCAGCCUUCUCCCGACCGCACCCGCUGUCGAUGCCUCUUGCGGCCCACUCCUGUCUGCGCUCGCCGUCAUGGCCUGCAACCCGCGCCUACCAUCGCCCUGCCCGUGCCACCAGACCUCACCUUGUGCGCCACCGCCUCACCUCGCCCCAUCGCUGCUGGUGAGGGCGAACGGAGAGGGGAGGGGAGGGGAGGCAGAGGAGGUGCUGGCCGACCUCGAGAAUGAGAAGUGGAGGGAGGGAGGGAGGGAGGGAGUGAGAGAGGCGGCGUCCGUCGCCGGGAGGGAGGGGUCAGCCGUUGUCGGCGGGGGGAGCUGAGAAUAGAGGGGAAAGGGAGAGGGCGGAGAGGAGAGGGUGAGGCUAGGCGGAGGGGGCCGGCAAGAUAAGAUGGGUGAGGUCAGGCGGAGGAGAUAGGGCUUGAUUUAUGGGUGACUCCCUUUAGUACCAGUUGGGAACUCCAAUCGGUACUAAAGGGGUAUCAAUUAGUACUGGGUGGAGCCCCACCCGAUACUAAACACCCUCAAGUACAUUAGUACUAGGUGGAAGCUCCACCCGGUACUAAGGGGUGACCUUCAGUACCGGUUGAAGCUUCCAACCGGUACUAAAGAGGUCACGGAAGCUUUUUAGAAAACUAGCUAUUAAAUCCGGAACUAAUACUUACGAUUAGUACUAAGUUAAAAACUAAACUAACCAGGAAUAAAGGGACAGUACCAAUACCGCCAGCAGCGCGCGCACAGGCGAAUGCGGUUUUGACUGGGUGCCUGCAUGCGUACGUCGCUGGCUGUGGAUAGCUGGCUUCCGUUCCCUGUCAAGCUUCUGUCAACGCUUCUGUCUUUGUCUGGUUCCCAUCUUUCACCGGUGUUUAUGUGAGUGUUUGGAUACUAGGUGCUAAACUUUAGUAAUGUUAUAUCGGAUGUUCGGAUGCUAAAUAGGAGGACUAAAUUUGAGUUAAUUAUAAAACUAAUUGCAGAACCCUAUGCUAAUUCACUAGACGAAUUUAUUAAGCCUAAUUAAUCCAUCAUUAGCAAAUGGUUACUGUAGCACCAGAUUGUCAAAUCAUGGACUAAUUAGGCUUAAUAGAUUCGUCUCGCGAAUUAGACUCCAUCUGUGCAAUUAGUUUUGUAAUUAGCUUAUGUUUAAUACUCCUAAUUAACAUCCAAACAUCCGAUGUGACAGGUGCUAAACUUUAACGGGUGUAUCCAAACACCCCAGGCUUCUAUUGUUUUCUCAGUUCUCCUGCUCCACCUUCCUUAGUACCGGUGAUUCCUCUUUCGGAACAGCAAGUGUGUGGGUAAGUGAAUGAGCGGGAAUUAUUUAACAUACAUGUAAACGUGGAAUACAUCAAUCUAACAAAAAAAGAGCAUCGAUGUAAAAAGAAAAAAUGGAUUAUUUAAAAUAUUGUUAAUAAAGAAUAUUAUUUGUUUCUAUGGAGAAAAAAACGAAACAUUAAUACUACAGUAAUAGGAAAAAUGGCUGAUCCUGAAAAAAAAAAGCUUGACAGCUCGUUCAUGUUACAAAUGCUUGGUCAUCUUCUGCAUCAAAAUCAUCAGCGUGAUUUUCAGCUAGAAGAAAAGCUGCAUCUUCAAUGAUAGAAUUAACCUUUGAUGCUCUGAAAACAAAAAGGUUUGAAAAAAAGGAAGAGACGAGUGUAAGUCUUGUGCAAAAGGUUUUACAAUAAGAAAUAAAAAAAUAAAAAAAGGGAAUUAAAGAAAAUAAAACUUACAUUCAUGUUUAGUAUUCUUUUUGUGUGUACAAGAGUAUCAUACUUCUCAUAUGGAAUCGGAAAGAUUUGAAAAAAGAAUAAUUUUAUAAUAAGCACACAGUAGUUAAAUACCUUCCGAUGGUCAUCGUCUGGGAUAAGUCGCAGUAUGAAAUCUUCGACUUCGGCAGGAAGCUUAGAGAAGCUAGCAGAAAAAUUUGAGGACACAAGGAAUGGGGUAUCAGUAUCACUGGGGUCCUUCAUCUGUUCCAUGUUGGGAAAAAAAUAAAGCAGAGAAUUAGUGCAUUGAUGCUGCCAAAAAUGAAAAGAUAUUCAAUCUGGUCCACAAUUGGAAUAAAAAGAAAAAGGGCCAGCUAUCAAAGAACCGUUUCCCUACUUGGCAUACACAAAGUAUCAAGAAAAAUGGCAUGUAGUAGUGUCACUAUAAUUCGUUAAAAAAAUGCAUGAAUGCAUGCAGAAAACAGGAUGGAUUUAUCACCUCGAGCAUGCCAAAAAUCUCGCCCAUCUCCACUGUUGCCGUCCAACGUAAAAAAUUCCUGAAUCAUGUAGUCAUCCCAUAUUUUCAGCCGUGGUAUGUCAUCACGCAGAAAUAUCUCUGGAGUCUUGAUGUGCUCAAAAUAUGUAACCUGCAUAGAAAAUUGUAAUAGAAUUUGAAUCAGAGCAAAACUAUCGUUGCUAAAAAAAAGAAAUAAAUGUAUGUAAAGGGUAAUGAAACACUAACCGCAAGAACAAACAAGCAGCCGCUAAGUGAUGACGUACGUCCUGUCCUUGCCAUGAGCAAUACCUUUUGCUGCAGAAUCUUGGAAUUUCUGCAUACUGGUGACCAAUCAAUCUUACUAUCUUACUAUUACUAAUUGGAGACUCCUUUUGAAGCCUCCAGGUGAAGCCACCUACGAUUCCUAGAUGGACACUCUAGAAAAAGAGAGAAAUAUUACUAAUUGGAGGCUUCUUUUGAAGCCUCCAGGUGAAGCCACCUAGGAUUCCUAGGUGGACACUCUAGAAAAAGAGAGAAAUCCUAAAAAUUCUCACAAAAAAGUAAAACAUCCGACCAUCAAUCGAUAGAUUCAAAUCAUCAUAGUCAUUGGAUAUAUUAUGUUUUCUAAAAAAUACCCACAUAUGCCAUUAUGAAAAUAGCCUAAAGUAACCCCCUAAAUCUAUAUAUAAAUUACCCACCUCUGCCAUUAUAUAAAAUAAACUAAAGUAACCCCCUAAUCUUCAUCCAAAUUACCCACUUAUGCCAUUAUAAACAAUAUUUAAAAUAACCCCCUAAUUUGCAACUGAAUUGCCUACCACUAUUACUUAAAAAACUUUAAGUAACCCCUUAAAUUUGCAUCUAUAUCACACAUGCCAUUAUUAAAAAUAACAUGAGGUAACUCUACGUUUCAAUCAAAUAACCUUAAUUAAAAAUAUACAGCAAUAUAUGAUUCUAAAUCGUCUAUAUCUUGCACAAUUGGUAUACGAUAUAAUAAUUAAGGUCUAUACGCAUGAUGUGUGUUACCAUUUAUAAGGAUAUAAAGUGAUGAGAAUAUAGAUUUCUAUGCUAAAAUUAUACCUUAAACUUAAGGUUCAUUAAACAAAUUCAAGCGCAUACCUGGGAUGCAAAAUGAAAAGUUAAAAAUUAUAAAUGUGGAUGAAAAUAUUAUAAAGUAAUUACUAACUAAAAUCUAUCACAAUUGGAUGAAGAUAUUAAGUAUAUAUCUACAUAAGCAUUGUGUAUUCGAAUAUUUAACAAACGAUAGCUAGCUUAUCGUAAUAUUUUUUAGCAAUGUAGUCUCAUUUUUUUCAAUUGGAGGCUCCGCAUUAGUUCCCACAAGACAAGCCAAAAAAAGAGACAAAUUCUCAUAAAAAUUAAAAAUGUCAAACACCAAUCCUGUAAACUCUAAUAAUCAUAGCCAUUGAUCUAUUAUAUUUUCUAAAAGGUACCCACCACUGUCGUUGUGAAAAUAUUUAGAAAUAAGCUCUAAACCUAUAUUUAAAUUACCAAGCUCAGUUAUUAUAAAAAAUAAUCUAAAGUAACCCCAUAACCUUCAUCCAAGUUACUAAUACACAUCAUUAUAAAGCAUAACUUCAAAUUUUAUUCUAAAAUUUUAUCUAUAUUAUCCACAUAUGUCGUUAUUAAAAAUAACCUAAAGUAAAUACCUAAAUCUAAAUCUAAUUAUCUUCAUGUGCAUUAUAUAGAAAUGUCAAAAAGUAAACUAAUAUAUGAUUUUAAAUUACAUGUCAUUGUUAAUAUAAAAAAUACUAAGUUAAAGUAUAUACACAUGAUGAGUGCCACAAUUUAGAUCAUUUAUACAUGUAUGUGAGGAAUCAAUGAAAAAUAUUGAUUUGUAUGCUAAACAUAAUGUAUGGAGGAUUGGAGGUAUGGUAUAAAAUGGAAAAAAUAUGAAUGUGGAUGAAAAAGUGCAUUGAGUAAUUAUUAAUUAAAAAUCAAUCACAACUGGAUAAAGAUAGGUACAUAUCUAUAUAAGUAUUAUUUGAAGUAUUGAAAAAUAAGAGAGUAGUAGGUAAAGAAUCCUGUUUAUUAGUUAGGAGUUUAAUUUCUAAAUAAUAUUUAAAUACAAUAUCUUCUAAAAAUAUUAGCUCGUGCGGGAGCACGGGUUGAUGGACUAAUGGAUCUAAACAGGAAUCAGCUAAAUUUUAACUAUUACUAUUCUUUUGAAGCCUCCAGGUGAAGCCACCUAGGAUUCCUAGGUGGACACUCUAGGAAAAGAGAGAAAUCCUAAAAAUUCUCAUGGAAAAGCAAAAUAUCCAACCAUCAAUCGAUAGAUUCAAAUCAUCAUAGCUAUUGGAUAUAUUAUAUUUUCUAAAAAAUUACCCACCUAUGCCAUUAUGAAAAUAGCCUAAAGUAACCCCCUAAAUCUAUAUAUAAAUUACCCACCUUUACCAUUAUAUAAAAUAAACUAAAGUAACCCCUAAUCUUCAUCCAAAUUACCCACUUAUGCCAUUAUAAACAAUAUUUAAAAUAACUUCCUAAUUUGCAACUGAAUUGCCUACCACUAUUACUUAAAAAACUUAAAGUAACCCCUUAAAUUUGCAUCUAUAUUACCCACACAUGCUAUUAUUAAAAAAAUAACAUGAGGUAACCCUACAUUUGAAUCAAAUAACCUUAAUUAAAAAUAUACAGUAAAUCAUCUAUAUCUUGCACUAUUGGUAUAUGAUAUAAUAAUUAAGGUCUAUACACAUGAUGUGUGUCACUAUUUAUAAGGAUAUAAAGUGAUGAGAAUACAGAUUUCUAUGCUAAAAUUGUAUCUCAAACUUAGGGUUCAUUGAACAAUUUCAAGCGCAUACCUACGAUGCAAAGUGAAAAGUUAAAUAUUAUAAAUAUAGAUGAAAAUAUUAUAGAGUAAUUACUAACUAAAAUCUAUCACAAUUAUAUAUCUACAUAAGUAUUGUGUUCUAAUAUUUAACAAACGAGAGGUAGUUUAUGGUAAUAGUUUUGUAGCAAUGUAGUCUCAUGUUUUUCAUUGGAGACUCCGCAUUAGUUCCCACGAGACAAGCUAGAAAAAAAGAAACAAAUUCUCAUAAAAACUAAAACAUCAAAUACCAAUCAUGUAAACUCUAAUAAUUAUAGCCAUUGAUCUAUUAUAUUUUCUAAAAAGUUACCCACCACUAUCAUUAUGAAAAUAUUAAAAAAUGAGCUCUAAACCUAUAUUUCAAUUACCGAGCUCAGCUAUUAUAAAAAAUAAUCUAAAGUAAUUCCAUAAUCUUCAUCCAAUUUACUAAUACACAUCAUUAUAAAGCAUAACUUAAAAUGUCAUUCUAAAAUUUUAUCUAUGUUACCCACAUAUGUCGUUAUUAAAAAUAACCUAAAGUAAACACAUACAUCUUAAUCUAAUUAUCUUCGUGUGCAUCAUACAGAAAUAUCAAAAAGUAAACUAAUAUAUGAUUCUAAAUUACCUAUUUAUGUCAUUGUUAAUAUAAAAAUACUAAGUUAAAGUAUAUACACAUCAUGAGUGCCACCAUUUAGACCAUUUAUAUAUGUAUGUGAGGAAUCGAUGAAAAAUAUUAAUUUGUAUGCUAAACAUAAUGUAUGGAGGAUUGGAGGUGUGAUACAAAAUGGAAAAAGUAUGAAUAUGGAUGAAAAAGUGCAUAGAGUAAUUAUUAAUUAAAAAUCGAUCACAACUGGACAAAGAUAGGUACAUAUCUAUAUAAGUAUUAUGUUGAAGUAUUGAAAAAUAAGAGAGUAGUAGGUAAAUAAUUUUGCUUAUUAGCUAGGAGUUUAAUUUCUAAAUAAUUUUCAAAUACAACAGCUUCUAAAAAUAUUAGCCUGUGCGGGAGCACGGGUUGAUAGACUAGUCUAGAACAAACGAAGACCGGUCAUAUUUGGGGAUAUCCUCCACUGAUGCAAUCCCUGAAUAAUAAUGAGAACUUGCACUUCCAUAGCUAGUGGGACAUAGGAAAAAGGACAGCGCAAUUAGCACAAAGAUCCGCACAAACUUGUCCCCUCCUAGCUCACUGUUUACCAAGCUAAUAAAGAGCUGAUCCACCGUGGGUGCGAUGGAGGAAGUCCCAGUGUCACUGCCAAUUACAUCUUUCAGUGCCUUUGUAGACCUUGUUGGUAUCCUUCGACCACCAAGAGGAAUCCCCAAAAUUUGAUGUACAGUGGAAGCAGUGAUUGUGAAAGUUGAUCCAUUCUGUAGGUUUACAGACCUUGUAUUGACAUCAAACAUUUUUGCUAGCCAAAAACUCACAGACCUUGGGGCUUCAGAACAGUCAAACUCAAGGAUGUUGCCAAACCCACAUGACUUGAUGAGUGCCUUUUGCUCAUUGGUCAGGUUCUUUAUCAAGGAUCUGAAUUUUCCUAGCUUUAGAUUACUGCUGAAACUUUGCAUGUAUCCAAGUAGAGAAAAAAAUGAGACACACACAAUAAAAUACAACAGGUGCACAAAAAUAACAUUAGAAAAAAAAAGAAAAUUCAGGAGCUUAAUACUGGCAAUUUAAAAACUCUAUAUUCCCAGUUACAAAACUUUGUAAUCAUUGAUAAGAAACUUGGUACUAAACAAAUUUUCUACCAGUAGGUCAAAGACUUUCAAAUAUAAAAAAUACUAUACUUGAAUGUUGAAAACUCUUAAAUUACGAAUAUAAAACUUUGGCUACCAGAUUCCAAACUUUGUAACUCAAAACCUUGCACUCUAAAUUCAGAAAACUUUGUGCUACCAAACAAACUCCAAACGUUGUGCUCUAAACUUAGGAACUUUCUACUAGAAUAUUACGAAUUUUGUACCGUUCAAUUCUAAACUUUGUAACUUGAAACUUUGAACUCCAAAAAUCUGGAACUUUAUACUAAAACAUUCCCAACUUUUCACUCUCAGAUCGAAUACUUGUAUUCACAGAUUCAAUACUUUAUAUCAAAUAUUUUGAGAAAAAUAUGUACAUCUCUAUAUUUUAUACAACCAAUUUUUCCCAUGAGGACAUAAACUAUUAAUUUACAUGAUCUGUCCCAUUAUCACAUACUAAUAAUCAGCAAUGCACUUACACGACCAGUGUCAAAACUUCUCACAUAUCUACAUUUUAAGUUAGAUAUCAAAACCUUUGUACCCACGACUAAAAAACUUUCAAAUGGUAUAUUGAAAACUUUCUACAUCAUUAUAUUUUAAGUUCAAUAACAAAACCAUUAUACCCAGAAUUACAAAUUCUUAAAAUAGAUAUUUAUCAAACUCUGUACACAUAUAUAUCUAUCUUUCAAGUCGCAUACUAAAAUCUUUGCAUUCUAAUUUCAGUAACUUUGUAUGAAGAAACUAGAAAACUUUCAUGCAACUAGAUUUCAAGUCAUAUGUCGAAAACUUUGGACAUAAAAAUUAAAUAGCUUUCAUAUCUCAUAUUCAAAAAACUUCCUACGUCUCAACCUUUGAAGCUACAUGCUAAAAACUAUGACCCCACUACUUGAAAACUUUGAAUGCAUAUACUUAGAAGCAUUCAAAUGAUAUAUACAUAAACUUUGGAUAAAAAAAUAAAUUUCAAAAUAAUCAACACAGAAAAAAUGUAUGUAUCAAAGUGAUAAGAUGAAAAAACUUUCAACCUCUCAACUCACAACUUUAAACUUCUCAAUUCACAACUUUAAACUGGGGAACCUCGUGUGAUGUUGUGGGGAGGUGGGGGGGCAUUGGGCAUACAUAUUGAAAACCUUAGACACUAAGAUUUAAAACUUUGAAGUUCAUGUCGAAUAACUCCAAACAGAUCAUAUGUAUUUUAGAAGCCAACACAUGUCCUUUCAUAUGAUGGCUCUAUGAUGAAAAAUUCUGAGACAAACUCCUAUGCAUAAUAUUUUCCUAUAUUUAGAAAAAGAGUUUUUCCUGACAGUGUACAUGAUAGAAUUAAAAUGUGAUGACUCUAUAAUGAAGUUAUGAGAGGAAACUCCGACGUAUGCUCAUUUUGAAACAUAAACUUGAUGGGGACAUGUUAUAUCCUUAUCGCUGAAUAAUAAUAUGUUACAUGGCUUUAUCAAAUUUGAUUGACAGCUGUUAGCACGCUAAUUUAUGAAUCAUAAGCGUACAGAUCAGUUGUAGCUCUUCCCUCAGAGUAUUCCCCCAAGGUUUAUCAAUCUGUGGAACUUAUAGCACAAGAUCUAUUUCAACUAGCAUUGUUAGUAUUAACUUGGUGUUUAUGAGAGAUUCAAAUCCAAUCUACUAAGCAUGUACAGACAGAUAAUAGAUAGAGUAAAGAUAAUCAAUCUAGAGAAAUCUAGACUAUGCGUAUAUUGUAAUUCUGAGCAUGGAUAGCAAAGCAACACGGAUAUGAUCUUAGUAAAAAGCAUCUUUAAAUCUACAUCUCUGGUCCGGAUCCCAAAACCUCCCACCUUACACAAGAAAGAUCGUGUCACUAUCAUCUCUAUCAACGCAAGCAGGUUAAGGGCAUGAUCAUAAGAAUAUGUCAUACUCAUCGGUAGAUCAGGCAUGCAAAUCUGAUCACCACGACUACAAGAACACCAUAGGCAAUCUAUCAUCGAUUCAUAGAUUGAAAAGCAAGCAAACCCGAUAAAGUAUAAAACCAUCAAAGGAGAUACUUCGAUUGCUAAGAACAUGAAAACAUUUAUUACUUCAACAUGAAUGAUUGUACAUCACAAGAUCACCACCGGGAUCCUACCUUGAUCUUGAUGACUUCUAGCUCUAGAACUCCAGCGUGACCUUCCUCGCAGGGUGAUCACGCUGGUAGAGGUUCGCCUACGCUAACCCCCGACAACUGCACGGCCCUCGGCUCUCCGGAGAGGUGUCCCACAAGCUCUUCUGCUUCUCUGCUGCUUCACGUUGAGUAUGUCAUCUUGGAUAUGGGGCUCGAUGGAUUUUUUGAGGUAUUUAUAGUCUAGAGAGCGUGUGGCAAAAAUUGGAAGAUGAGGGGACGAAGGAACCCUUAGGCCGAUCGGCCUAGGAGGGUCCAGGCUGAUCGGCCUGGGCCUUCCUUUUAGCCUCUCGUGUCGUGCUUCGUCUCCAAGUCUCCUCAGGUACUCUAGAAUCUUCUUUUCACUUGCAUGUAGGCCUGGCACGUCGGUUGCUUCGGGAUGAGAUUUAUCUUCAAUGACUUUCCAAAUCUCCGCUUGAUCUUCUCCAAUUCCUUUUUGAUCUUGAGCUGGUCCUUGCCAUAUCUUCAUAAACUUAGCCCCUAAGCAAUGUUGGAGGGUUGCUUGCCAAAGAUGGACACCAGGGGGCGCUAGAAGAUGUCAGGCCGAUUAGCUUGGGCUCCUCUAGGCCGAUCGGCCUAGCCCCUUCCUGGGCUCGUCUUCAUCUGGUUCGACAUUCGUUCAGUGCUUUAUCCAAAAAUACGCUUUUAGGCCCUAAUUUCUUGCAAAACACAACAUCCUCCAAAAUACGUAGCACAUGUCAUUAGGUGUAAUCAAUAGUACUAUUAGGUAUUAAAUUCAUGUCAUUAUUGAAUUUAAACAGAGGUAAAAGUGUGUCAAUAACGAGCAUUAACAUAUGUUGAAUAUUGUAUACCUUCUUCUCCAUUUUAGACUCCAGUUGCUCCUGUCACUCCAAUAAAAACUGCAGGGUGAUAAAAAAGAAUGACAUGUAAAUAAAAUCAACAAAAUCGAAAUGGAAAAAUUGUUAAGUAACAAGUGAAAAGCCUUUUGUACAUAUAACUUGGAAACUGAAAAACAAACAAAAUAUUUGGACAUGGGAUGUUGAAAACUUCCUACUGACACAUUAAAAAAUAGCAAAAUUUGCUACAGGACAUCGAAAGUGAUGUCAAUUUGCUGAGGGAUACCGUUCAAAAUGCACUAUGCUGAUGGACACUCUCGUUUUAUGCAAAUCUGCUGGAAGACACCAUUUUGAUUAAAAUAUUAUUUUAGGCUAGAGAAGACGUAGAAAUAUGAUAAAAUGAUAUUUUUCUCCUCAGCCCCACUUGCCAGCCUUUGUCUUCUUCCUCUCUUCCCUCCUCUUCUUUCUUCUUUUCUCCCCAUUUUCCACUCGACCGCGCCGCUACUUGGCGGCGCGCAUCUGCCCUUGCACUUCCCCUUCCCUAACAAAAUCCCGUGGCCUUCCCUCCUCCCCUUCCCUCAUCCUCGUACGCUGCUUUGCUCCUCCACGUUCCUAGUGGGCUCUGCCAAGUAGGGCCCACGGCGGGUUGUGUGGAGGGGAGGUCCGGGAUCUUACGUGUGACCGGCAUGCAGGGGAGGGGCACUGCCGUGCUGGGUGGUGGCCUACAGCGGCGCAAGGCAGGACGGAGCCACGGAGGUGGCUUGGCUGGGCGGGCACUACUCCCUUGCUGAUGCAUACUGCGGCAGUGGCGGCAUGUUCUGCUGUGGUUUACGCCUACGGGUAUGGGCGGCGGCACUAUCGUUCAACAACUGACCCUCCAGCAAGCACCAAGGACCUGCCCCGUACAAGAGUCGUGGAUCUCUUGGCCCAUGCUUAUUCGAUCUGGUGGACAUCUAGCUUGAAUAAUGGAUUUGUAAGGGGGUGUUUGGUUGCACGGACUAAAGUUCACGAUUGAAUAUUUAGAUACUAAUUAGGAAUAUUAAACAUAGACUAAUUACAAAUAUAAUUGCACAGAUGGAAGCUAAUUCACGAGAUGAAUCUAUUAAGCCUAAUUAAUUCAUGAUUAGCACAUAUUUACUGUAGCAUCACAUUAUCAAAUCAUGGACUAAUUAUGUUUAAUAGAUUCGUCUUGCGAAUCAACCUCCAUCUGUGCAAUUGAUUUUAUAAUUAGCUCAUAUUUAAUCCUCCUAAUUAGUAUCUAAACAUUCAAUGUGACAUGAACUACUCCUAAAGUAGUUGGAUAAAUUUGUAGUUUGUUUGUUAGGUCCCUACCUCGAUUUGCCCAUUUGGAUGUUUGAUUUGGUCCUGAAGCUCGCUCCGCAGCACCAUCACUGUCGUUGCUACAUGCGUGGAGACCAUGACUGGCAGCACUCCGCUUGCGGCGCUGCUGUCUCGUGAGAUAAAAGGAAGGGGAGGGAGGGAGAGAGAGAGGAGGAAGAAACAUCCGACGAGUGGGGUAAGGGGUAUUUUUGUGUCACUCUAUCUUUUUUCUUCUUCUCCAAUAAAAACUAAUAUUUAAUAGAGGCGGUGUCUUGGAGCAAAUUGACUCUGAAUCGGAGUGUCCACCAACCAAUUGCACUUUUUACAGUGUCCCACAACAAAUUGACAUCAUUUUGGAUGUCUUGUAGCAAAUUUUGCCUUAAAAAAUUGCACACCUGGAUAUAAAACUUUGUACACUGUAAAAUAAAAAAAGAAUUACUACAGCCGCAUUUGAAGCUUUACACUACUAGGAGCGAAAACUUUGUUACUUUGUUAUUUUGAAACUUUCUCUCAAUAAGAAAGCUUAGUGCUAGGGCACUUAAAAAAAUUACACUCCCGCGUCUAAAAAAAGGCUAAAAGCUUAUAAAACUAUGUAGUUACAAAAAUUUGAACUACAUUUUCAAGAAACAUUGAACUGCCGUGUUUAAAACUUAUUCGACAAUCUAAUACUUUGUAAAAAGAAACAUGUAUACGACGCUUUGUCUCAAGCUUUGGUGUGGCAUGAACUGCGGGGUAAAAAAGACUUUGGAAUUAUACAGAGUGAACUUUCUACACCUACAGCCUUGAAAAUUAGAAAACCAAAAAACUUGAUAUUAAAAAGGAGUGGAAAAACUUUGAUGGGCUCGUUGAAGUAUUAGGAUUGACGCUACAUCGAUGCCAAAAUAAUUACAGUUUUAUUAUUUACAGUGAAAACCCCAUGUCAAUUAAUACCAAAAAAGCCGGAUGCGAUGCUAAUGGGAGCAAAUUUAUUUUAAAUAAGACAACCUGCAUAUCACAAAGUAUGUUCUGGAGUUUGCAGACUGAAAUAAAAACUACAACAAAGUGGAAGAAACAAUAACAAGGAUAGGAUGGAUCAACAAUGAUCAGUCUUCCCGUUAAUCCAAUACUAUCUGAAUUAAGUUGAAAUUUGUGUUGCUAGAAGUUUCAAAUGAAGCUUUAUCCAUCCUAUGCCUGAAGCCCUCAAACCAGUUUGCCUCCUAGGCAGCGCCCCCGCAAAAAAACAAGACAUACAAAUUAAAGUGAGGGUGUGUGAAAAAAAUCUGACCUCAGCAUAGAUUUUCACCACCUGUGGCUCGAUUCCUUCUGUCCCUCGCCUGAGCUCACAAUCAACCUCAGGGGCAAAAAAAAAAGGCUUCGACUAACCUGGUAACAAAUCCAAUCGGAUAUAUCAUAACACACAAAAAAAAAAAGAACGAAGCGAAGAAAUUCAUGUGAGUGUUGCAGUAAAAAUACAUCGCGUCACCUCAAUUCGAUGCGCUCGUGGACGCCUCCUCCCUUCUCAUGCAGCAUGGGCUCUGUCUCGAUGCAGCUGGGAGGCGAACGCACCGCUUCAUCGAGACCUCCUAGGUCACCUUCCACCUUGUCGUCGAGAAUCAAAACCUUGAGACGCAGAGGAAGACGAAACCCCCGUCGGGUCCCCCCUUCAGCCUCGCCGCGUCAUCAACGGACCGGUUCGAGCGCCGGAGGAGGACGAGCAUGGCCGGUCCCUUCCGCUUCCGCUUCCACUUCCCCCUCGAUGCAGGCAACCAUGCUGUAUGAUUUUCAGCAUGAAUCAUUACAGACGUAGGCUGAUAGAGUUUAGGAUAUUCCAUUGCUUUGCAUUAUUCGGAAUCACGUGGUGUGAUGGCAGUUGAGGUUUCAGUUGGAAACUAAUUAGAGGAGAUUCAUAUAGGAUCCUGUUGAUGUUGUGUAGUUCAGCUGCCAGAAUAAUGCAACAAUUUGUUUAAACUAAGUAUUUGAGAACCACAUUCUUUUUGGAUGGGGCGGAGAGUUGUGUGUGUGUAUCUCGAUUGAGAAAAAAAAAUCGCUUGUGGCGAAUCAGGAUAAAAAAGAUUGUAUUGACAUCCAUCAAAAAAUGAAUUUUGUAUGCUCAACUUCAUUAUUAGAGGGAAAUUCAGGUCAAAAGGGGGAAAAUUGCAACCUCACAAAUGACAACUGGUUUUUUUAAAAGGUUCACAUAAUUUUGUAGAAAGGAUUUGACCCAAGGUUGCAGGGGCUGCUAUAUAUGCUCCACUUAGGCGGAGCAUCCACCCACUCUCUCCCACAUAUUCUUUUUUUUUUUACCAAACUGCUCCUUUUUGUUCUUCCGGUAUAAGAAAAAAUUGUUCUGAUAGAGAAAUUAUUUUUUUUAUGUAAAUAAAAAAAAUGUUAUGCAUGCAACAGGUGAAGCAGAACACAUGAACAGAACAGGGCAACAGCGUGGAGCAAGGUGCAGUAAAGGUUGCUCCCUCCUUUUUAAAAAAUUUGUAGCAUUCCCUUCUAAGAAAUUAACAAAAUGUUUCAGUAGUACAAGUAACCAUUUCAGGUGUACAAAUAAUUGUUCACAGAAAAGGGUAUGGACAGAAGCAUAAUAUUGGACUAAAUUUAUCAUUUAUCAUUCUGAAACAGAGGACUUUAUCUUAGUUUAGGCACGACAAAUACUGUUGCUACAGAAUAGCUCCCGCACAUUUGGUACUCAUUGGCAGCCAGACCACACGGGGGCACCAACCAGAGAUAUGAUGAUUUGGCACUAUUGUCCAAUUUGGCACCCCAAGACGGAGCCGGGGUGCAGGAGGGAAGCCCUGUCCAAUUUGACGCCAGUGCGCAGGAAGGAAGAAGAACUUUUGGGUGGAAUAUGAUUGGGCCGCGAAUCAACCCGAGCCAUCUCUCUCCGGCCGUGUCAGCUGGACCCGAUGGAUGGAACGCCUCCGGGGGCCUAUGCGCACAGCUUCCGGUGUGCCGCACGUCGCCCGGUCCGCCGGCGGAUGGACAGCGCCACGUCACCGGUCGGCGUCCAUCAGUGUUCAGUGAACUAAAGCGUGCGUGCGGUCGGCUCUAGCUGAUCUGCCCCGGGGAUGGACGCUGAUGCGAUGGCCAUUUGGUUGCGCGAUUACGCCAGCCAAACGGCGCCAUCUAGUAGGAACGUAAUCAUAGAGCAGCCGGCCGGGCACUGUAGCGAGACUGCAGAGUAGCCAAUCCGAUCGAUGGUCUUCCUCUUCCAGCAGUACGUGGCAAGACUUGGAUAGACCCAAUCAUCAUCAGAUCCCUACCCGUUCGAUACAUAAUUGACCCAACUAAUCACCGAUCACUUUCUUCUCUUCGCUUCAAACUAUGCAGAGCGAACAGUGGCGGCCUGGCGGGAAGGAGCGCGCGCCUCAAUCUUGGGUCGUGACACGCCGGCCGCAGGUGUGUCAUCUUGCGCGAUCCUGUUUCAGCAUCGGCGUACUCCCCGCCCAAUGCCGCCGCGCGCGUCCCCCUGCCACGGCACGCGCAACCGUUGCGUGCCGGCGUGCCCGCCUCUCGGUCUCAGGCCUCCCGAGCGAAGGGUCUCGAUCAGCCGCCCGGGUGACCAGCCACCCGAGCCUGGGAAAACGAUCCAGCCCACUGGCCCGCGCACGCCCCCCGCCGAUGCUGACGGAUCGGGAUCACGGAAGGACGCGCGCGCGUCUCCCAGCCUGGGCCAAGCCAUUGCCGGCGCUCGAGGAAACGGAGGCCGCACGCGCGCGUCCGCGUCGCCCCUGCUCAGCGGCGGCGGCGGUGCCGACGAAUGAAUGCGGGAGCGGGCCGCCCGGGUUUUCUUCCAGGCCAUGACGGCUCAACUGAUCAUCAGUGUAUCAGAUCAAAUCGGGCCCGUCGCAUGCAAGUAGCUGCGCCGUCCGGUCGGUGCGGCACUGGAAACUUGUUUGGAUCACGAGUUUUGUGAAAACCGAAAUCCUAAAAUCGAGGAUAGCGCAAAAUGCUGUUUGGAAACUCCAACUAACUCACGUUUAAUGGAAACGCGUUUUGCCUGAAAUCAGAAUAGCCUUUUACUCGCACGCCAUGGCUGUGUUGCUUCACCGCUGCCGCGCGCAUGCUCAUCAAGUCAUCUGCUCCUCCUCCACAAUUCCUCUGUUCGGCUACAGAAGCAAUGCCGCAUGCUUUCUCCUACACCUUCCGCCUGUCGCACGACACCCAUCCAAUUACUGAUUUUCUCCCUAAUGCCGGUAUGAUAUCCACAGUAGACGAAGCGGCGGCAGCAGACCGAGGUAAUCAGCUAAUCACAAAGCACGAGGAGCGCCGCAUAGAGGAGUGGAGCACUGCUACUUGGCGACCAUGCAUGCACCGCUGCACAUCAUUGCUACUGACGAACAUCAACGGAGAAUAAUUUGAUCAUUUAUUGGGCUAAUGGCGAGAGAAAGUGAAAUAAGUCGUGUGGUGUUUUGAGCAAUAUACGUCAUAUUUUAAUUCUUUAGAGCUAAACAAGUUACUCACAAAACUUGUAUUCAUCCUUCAUCAUCCAAACAAGAUACUCAUAAAAAUAAUUUAACGGAACAACUAACUAAAACUGGUUUUACUAAAAAUCCUCUAAAAACACGUUUUACUAAAACAGAUUUAUUUUUUAAAAGAUCCAAACAACCACUUAGUUUUGUGAAAAAAACAAAACAAAAUGGAAAACUUUUUGCGCAACAAAAAGAAAA
rnacentral:lncRNA from 1 species